GACGAUGAGGGAGCGGGAGCGAGAGAGCACAGUCACAUGCAGAGCGGAGCCGGGUGGAGAAAGAGAACAGAGAGAGCUGUCAAGCAGCGCGAGGAGGAAGAAGAGACACUACUGACUUUUUCUAUCUUGGAAUAGACACACACACACACACACACGCAUCUUCUCCAACAUUAUAAACACAGCAGCACACUGAUGGUGAAGUGAGUGCAGCUCCAGGAUCUGAAAAACUCAGGCUCACAUUUGGACUGUUCUGGUGUUCAGCAUCAUUUGGAUUGGGAUUGAUACUUGAGUGUAUGCUGACAAGAAGGAUGUGCUGGACUGUAGCAGUCGUCCUGCUAGCCCACUUUGGAGCCACCUUAACAGGAGCAUGGAGAGCAUCUCAGCCAAGACUGCAGUUCACACACACUGAGCUCAUUCAGAACGGCCGCAUGCUGACGCUGCCUCUGGAGGCUGGAGACCUGCACACCCUGGUGCACGAUGACGACGGGAGGCGUCUCUACGUGGCCAUGAAAGACAAUCUGCUCUCUACCAGUAUCGAUGACAUUACACAGAACCCACGCAAGAUGUAUUGGCCAGCGAGUCCCGACCGUGUCCAGGAGUGUCUCAUGGCAGGGAAGGAUCCAGAGACUGAGUGUGCCAACUUCAUUCGAGUCCUGCAGCCAUACAACCAGACACACCUGUAUGUGUGUGGCACCGGCGCCUUCAACCCACGAUGUGCUUUCAUAGCUACCAGCAUCUUUCAACAGUCAGAACACCAGACUCUCUCCUACAGCCAGACUGAGUGUGGGAAGGGAAAAUGUCCCUAUGAUCCUUUCCAGAAAACGGCUUCUUCUGUCGUCGAUGGUGAGCUUUAUGCUGGUAUCACUUCGGACUUCAUGAGUCGUGACUCUGGGUUCUUCCGUAGUCUUGGCAACCGUCACGUUAUCCGCACUGAACAGUACGAUUCCACCUGGAUGCAGGAUGCCCAGUUUGUGCGGGUCGCGCCGUUGUCUGAAACUGAUAACCCAGAAGACGAUAAGGUGUACGUGUUCUUCACCGAGCGAGCUCAGGAGGCAGAAGGAGCCGCUGGCAAGGUUCUCUACUCCAGAGUGGCGCGUGUGUGUAAGAAUGAUAUUGGAGGCCAAAGGAGCUUAGUCAAUAAGUGGAGCACCUUCCAAAAGGCUCGACUGGUGUGUUCAGUUCCAGGUCCAGAUGGUCUGCAGACGCACUUUGACCAACUGCAGGACAUCUUCAUCCUGCACGAGAAAGACAAGAAGAACCCCCUCAUCUACGGGCUGUUUACCACGUCGAGUGACAUUCUGAACGGCUCCGCCGUGUGCGUGUACAGAAUGGAGGAUAUAGUGCGAGCGUUUAAAGGGAACUUCCUGCACAAGGAGGGCCCCCAGUACAAGUGGGCGGAGUUUACAGGAAAGGUGCCGUACCCGCGACCAGGAACAUGUCCAAGCAGCACGUAUGGGAGUUACAGCUCAACCAGAGAAUAUCCAGACGAUGUCAUCUUCUUCAGCCGGACUCACCCACUGCUCCAGGAGAAUGUGCUGCCACUAGGAGAGCGCCCUCUACUUGUCAGAGUUGGAGUCCACUACAAGUUCAGUAAACUUGUGGUGGACCGAGUGGAAGCUGUUGACACCACCUAUGAUGUGUUGUUCAUCGGCACAGACUCUGGCCUUGUGCUGAAGGCCAUUCAUGUGCCAAAAGAACACGGUCAGAUCCAGGAGAUCACUCUAGAGCAGCUGCAAGUCUUCCAGCACAAAUCUCCCGUUACAGCGAUGACGAUCUCAAAGAAGAAGCAGUGGUUGUUUGUUGGCUCCAGUGAGGGGGUAUCCCAGCUGUCCCUCUACCAGUGUGAGCUCUAUGGUCAAGCCUGCGCCGAGUGCUGCCUGGCCAGAGACCCCUACUGCACCUGGGACGGCCACGCCUGCAGCCCCUACAUGCCCACUGUCCGCAGGAGGAAUGCACGCCAUCUAGGAAAGGAUGAAGAUCCACUGACUCAGUGUGUGAGACAGGGAGCUGGACUGCAGGUGGAGGCAGAGCAGAGAGUGAUGAUGGUGGCUGAGGGGAACAGCACCUACCUGGAGUGUCUGCCCCAAUCCAGACAUGCUGCCGUCACCUGGUACAAACAAGCAGGCGAGAACAGCCCAGAACUCAACCAGGUGCAUGCUUUCCCGACGACAGAGCUUCUUUCUACACGACUCAGUGGCAAGUCCAGCAUAUAGAUGAGGUCCUCAUCAGGGCUCCAGUACUGCUCCCAGAAAGACUCUCAGGAACUGCUGACCGGGUGAAUCUUUCUUCCCCAGUCUCCCAGACAUGAAUCAAGCAAAAUCGCAGUUGAAGGACAAGUGGGUAUCCAGAGGAAGGAGAGGAGAACUUCACCUGGACGUAAGCCAGGGCCUUCUUGUUGACAGGUCACUGUCUUUCAACUGUGACCUGCAGCACCCACCACGGCUCCACCAUUCACAUAGGACCCAGUGUUUCAUUCCUAUUGGUCAGAAUACUUUGUGCCAGUCACCUUCACCAACUGUCAAUAAAUCCAAUCCGGUGGCCACUUCCCCGACGGCGCUAACCACAGACGGAAAAACAAACACCAGCUCAAACUCUUGGCUUCAGAAACCGAGACCCAAACUUGUGUAUGUGUGUGUGUCAGUAAGAGCUUUUUAAGUGCGUGCGAGUUGACGUGAAGUGUGUGUCGGCAUGUGAACAUACUGGAUCAUGACAGAUUACUGUGGCUCAGUCACGAUCCUAAAGCAGUAACAGAAAACUUCGUCUUUUUCUCUCACUGUUGGGAAGGUCAUAUAUAUUUCCAUGUUGGUGGCACAUACACAGAGAUUGAAAGAUUCAAGACAACAAAGGAGAAAUGUGUCUCAUAAUGAGUGUGGCUGGCUGCUUAACAGCUGUCCCCUGUUGUUAGACUGGAUGCUGAGAGUAAGCAGAAGCUGCAGGGUUUCUCUGUGUUUAGAUCGGUUCUUCACUGGUCAUGUCCAGAAUUACAGUUGGAAUAUCAUUAUGUGUCUAUACAUAUGUAUAAGGGGAAAAGCACUACAGGCUUUCAACGGCAGAUAAAUCUGUUAAAAACAAAGAGACCAAUUUACUACUCUGUACUUCGCUGUAUAGUUUUCUAUCCUCUUUAAUGCCCUUGACUAGUACUGAGGAUGGAUGAUGACCUCACAGACCGUCGGGUAUAACUCAAUCUGAAUGAGUGUUAAAAAGUAGGUCAAAAUGAGAGACAUAUUCUAUAAACUACUUCUAGACUUGCAAAAGAAAGCACCACAGAUGUAAGUGGCUGAAAGCGUUUGAUAAAAAGUUUCAUUAUAAAGUAACUUGCGCCUCAAGUUUGCGAGUAUACAUCCAAAAGUACGGAACUGAAAGCUGAGGAAAGGCAGGAGUAGAACAAAAAAAAGCUCUUUCAGAUCUAAGUGGAGCAGUUUUUGUUUGCCUCGCGAAGAGAGCUGGUGCGAGGAUCCAGCUCCUUCUGUCUCUCACACACAAGCACACGCCGUCCGUCCCUGUCUUCACUUCAUAAAACAUCCAAACUGGCCCCGCAAGUGUCUGCCAAGGUGACCACACAGAACUUUCUCAUCAAAUAUUAAACCGCGGCUGUGCUGUGCUCUGAAACCCGAGCGACACUCACGGAUGCUGAUCCUCCUCCUCUGGCUCUGCAGCUUCCAAACCGUCAAGGAAACGUUACAAUAGCGCUUUUUGUUGAUGUUGGUGUUAUUGCUGUUCUGCUCUUGCUUGCUGCGAAUCUAAUAUUCUGCGGCUCGGGGCGCAGGGACGGAGCAGCGCUCAGUGGAGCCGCGGCCUGAUCACAUUUCAGUCAGAGAAACAGUAUAUUACGCUGACGGUGUGUCCGCUGGAAAGUGAGCAGUUUGUUGCAGUGCGUUUUUUUUCCAGAAAGAGACAACCACACGCUUGGAGGUAAUUGAUUGCUUCCAUUAUACACCGUAUAAACAUUCUCUUUAUUUACUAGUAUGGACAGGUUAAUGUCUCUGAACCUCCCAGGAGCGGCCACAAAGUCCUUAGACAGGGUUUGAAUCGCGGUGUCGCUGUCCUGAGGGAGACAUUUUAGAAGAGGAGAAACCAACCAAGUGUCUUUCAGUGUACUUGGAAUGCACGAGUUAAGAAUGCCGAAAGUACUUUCUCAAAAGUUGACUUAAAAUGCCCUUUUGUUCAGAGUCUCUAGUGAAGUUAGUAAGUUUACUGUACGUGCCCUUUUUAGUGUAUUUAAACUACUUUUUUUAAGUGUACUUUCUAUGAAGUGCCCCUUUUAAGGUCUGCUUCUGGUGCCCUUUUUCAUAAACUUAAAGUGCCCUUGUACACAUUUGUAUUCACACGUAUUCAAAGUACUUCGAAUAUACCUAUUUGAAGGCUUUUUUGAGAUGUUUGGGGUCAGUUUGGGGCCCGGGCCCUGUGUUUGUUAGUUCACCCAUGCAAAACUAAGACCCACUACUAAAAAGAAGAAACACUGCCACCACUCAGAGUGGUACCAUAAGGUACUGCAACCCCUGUAAGUUGACCAGCAUGUCACUGAUGUAUAGUCAGUGAUUCUUAACCAUAGGGGCCGGGGCCCAUGGUUGGGCCACGAGCGUCUCCUAGUGGGCGGCUAAAAGUUCUCUUGUUUUACACCUUUGGGCCGUGAGGGCUGCGAGACACUCCACAUUACAUACAUUAGCCACAUACGGUGGCAGUUAUGUGUGUCUAAAUUGAAUUGACAGUUGCAAAUCUGUGAUAGUUACCAACUAUGGAGACAUUCUUGAAAAGACAAAAAGAUAAAGAAAGUGACAACCGUAAAAACUGCACAUGAGAGCACCUGUUGAAGCAGUUUUGAAAAGUAAUUAGAACAUUUUUUGGCGAUACUUUCAUUUACACUUCACUUGGCGUUUAAAUUAAAUAUGUUAUUUUUGUUUUAUGAUGUUUAGACAUGUUUUUUGAAUAUCUAUUUUAUGCAGAAUUGUAUUCAGUUUUUCCAUUUUUCUCAGCAUUUUGCAUCAGGUGUAUUGUUUUUCUUCAGUAAAUUUGGUUCUGCUACCGGUUGGUCUUUUCAUUGACAAACAUGAUGGCGACGUUUACAGGCUGUCGCUGCGACUCGUGCCUGGUGUUUCGCGUCGCCCCAGAACACACCCACAGAAAGGAAAUAAGAAAAUUGCUCCUGAAUGAAAACUGUUAAAAGGCGUCUUUGGCUUUUACCACAGAAGGUGACUCAUCUUUCCAUCUUGCUCUUUUUCCCCCUGCGUUGAAAACCCUACUGCUCAAAGAAAAUAGUAGUAAUUCCUGGUCCAGUGAGAGGGCUGCAAACGUAACCACAGAGUUGCAUCCAGGGAGGCUCUCUGCACUGGCUCGCUAAAUCUUGUGUGAAAUCGAUGUGACGGACUUGAGGCGGUUCUGUCUGCUCCCCGGGCCUAGCUUUUGUUUGGCCACACAGAACCGUUUCUCUGAGCUCACCAUGAAACCCUUCGCCUGGUGCAUGGGAUGUCUUGUCUUCAAUGUGCAACUGAAACAAAACGAAUCGUCUUGUUGUGAACAACAGUACGGCAAAUGGAGCUUUCUCAUGUUUGAGCGUUUAAAGUGGACAAACCGACAUGAGAAUCAAGAAUUACAGCAGGUUUCAGUCGGCCUCAUCCGGUGUUUCAAGUUUAACAUCGUGUCAGGACUUUGACCAGUGUGCUAUAUUGAGAUGUUUAACACUUCCCAUCACCGUCUGGAAUGUAAAUUGCACAGAAGCCAACGCUCUCAGGAGUCGCCCGAACGUCCAGGAAAAUAAUUGGACUCCCUCUGCCCACACUGCUUUCAGAACCUGUUGCCUCCACAGCGCCACAAAUAGCCUUUCUAACAUCCGUAAGAUGCUCUGACAACUUGCACCUCCAAGCUAAAAAAAGCUUGAUAGCCAGAGCUCCACCUGGCUCUGGGUUGUCAGUCGUCUCAAGCUGAAGUAGCUGCUCAGGACUCGAGCCGCUUUGCUCUGAACCGCGUCGCCAAAACCACAUUUUUGAUACGCCACUAAACAUCCAAAAAUAAUUGUCAACUCUAGUCAAUAAAGUUUGCACGGCGCAGCCCGGUCACAUCUGUUUCACAGCUCAGGCUCUAACUUGUUUCCUUUUCAAACAUUUCUCUGAUGGACUGAUGAAGAAAGCAGAAAUUAUUCACGGUCCUUGGUGAUAGAGCGUCGGGUCCAACUGUGGAAGCCAUUGGCCUGACAUGAUCCAGAAGCCUAAUGAUCAGUCAUCUCACCCACUUGGAGUCAGAAGAGACGAUUCCCCUGCAGUCGAGGGAGAAGCAGCAGCAGCAGCGGCGGCAGCUGCUUUGAAUGACUCUGGUGAAUCUAAUAUUUAACAAGAUCCCUAGAUGUGGCCACGUUGUGGGUUUGAAUCCUCUCCCCGCCUCUGCUGCGCUGUUUGUCAUUUCUGACCACAUGUGAGGCUUUAUGAGGCUCAGACGCUGUCCUGCCCUCCACCGCCGAGCCGAGCACCCGCCGCUGAGCUCUUUAUUAUUAGAGACUCUUACGUUUAAACGGCUGUUGAGGUAAUGAACGAGAACAAAAGCAGAAGAAAACCAGUCAACAUUUAAGGAUCCUUAAAAGAAAGUGGAAAAACAUGUCUUCUUCUUCAUAUAUAGGCCGAAGCUUCCCGUAACCUAUAAUUGGGUCAAAUGAUCUGUUUCCAGGCGUCACUUAGCAGCUUUGCAUUUUUGGGAUGUUCUUCAAACCCAGAAAUCCCAAUUCAUUCCAUAUGGACCAGAUCGACUCUUGGUCACUGGUGACCCCUGUGUCUUCAUGUUGGACCCUCGCUGUGAAAUGUGUGACUUUUUGACUGCACUUCUAUAGUUGCUCUUCCUCAGCAUCUUCUCACUGAAAUAUGGUCCUGGAUGUGGCCCCGCAAACAGCAACACCGCCACAAAACAAGCCCAUCAUCCACCAAGUCCAAGAGACAAAACAUUAUCACCUUCAUUGGAGCACAUGCUUCUUAUGGGAACCACCACCAUGCACUUCCAAUCUAGAGUUGUGACCCAAGAUGCAAUAGUGCCCAGCAUUUGCUUUCCGAAUGUUUAAAAUAGCAACGUGUGGAGUUUGUCUCCAUCUGUCGGGAAAGAUUUGACAUUGCAGCAUAAAAUACGGUCGCACGGAGGGAGCAGUGAAAUCAGUAAUACUACACG